CAUAACAAGGCUGAUGAAAUCAUUUCAAAUUCAGAACAUUAUACAUAGAUAUUCAAGGGAAAGAGAAAUAGCUUCAUAUGGCUUUACUUAAUGGAUUUACCUGUGACUUUACCUGUAACUGUACAUGCAGGAGUAUAUAGUAAGUGAUCCAUAUGUGGAAAUUAUCAUGACAAUUAUUUUAACAAUUUAUAUCAUCUGUCACUUUAAGAAUGAAAGCUUUCAGUAUAAGCAAUCUGCCCUCCUAGCAAAGGGAAAGAAAGGAAAUCAAGUGGGAAGAAAAUAUUUCUAAAAUAUCUCAUCAUUGGAAGUAAAUGAUUAUAAUGUUUGUCUAUUAGUUUCUUUUAGAAGAUAUGUUCCAAACUGUUGUUUUUAUCACUUUGAAAACUAUUCAUAUUUUUACUUUUUUGCAUUUAUCUUCUAGUAUGUCCCAGAUUUUUUAAUGUUUUUGUAUUAAGUUAGGGUUUGGGAGCUUUUGUUGUUGUUCGUUUUUCC
rnacentral:lncRNA from 1 species